UACGAAGGGUGCAAACGUUGCUCGGAAUUAUUGGGCGUAAAGCGCACGUAGGCGGCUUUUCAAGUCCCAUGUGAAAGCCCACGGCUUAACCGUGGAAGUGCAUGGGAAACUGGAAGGCUUGAGUACUUAAGGGGAUCGCGGAAUUCCCGGUGUAGAGGUGAAAUUCGUAGAUAUCGGGAGGAACACCAGUGGCGAAGGCGGCGAUCUGGGAAGAUACUGACGCUGAGGUGCGAAAGCGUGGGGAGCAAACAGG
rnacentral:rRNA from 1 species